rnacentral:lncRNA from 1 species
UUGAUUACCAAUCAGCAAUUUUGCCAAAUUGUAGUAAUUGUACCCAAAGAUUACUGAGCCAAUAAACUUGUGUAAAAUAUCUGCUUUGACUUGAUAUGAGUAUAUUUCCGUAAAAUUCUAUCUACAUGUUAAUUUGUUAAUAGCUUUUAAUGGAUAAGCAGCUCAGAACUUUAGAAACAUUUAAUUCUUGAAAUGUUGUUUAUUUUUAACUAUGUAUGUCACACUUGGCAAUGAUGUUCUUGCAUCAAAAAAUAUUGAGGUUAUAAAAUUUGUUUUUACGUAUUUGCCAAUUGAUAUCAGUUAUCGUAAAAUGUAAUAUAGCUAAUGUUCCUUCUUCAAAUCUUGGUGCUUCGCAAGAAAAAAGGGUCUACUUCCUCUUCUUUCUCUACGGCAAGCAGCAUACUGUGCAUCUUUUCAGUAUUUUACUUCCGUAUUCCGAUUUAACUGUUCUAAGAAGUUCGUCCUUGCCUCUACUCUUGCCUUGGACAUGGCUGCAGCUACCGCCGAAAUACCGCUCACGAAAAAGUUGGACUAUACUAUCCACAGUUAUUCCAGCUAUUCGCCAACCUACGUCCCAGAGAAUAUUCGCGAGGACAAAUCUAAUGAUCAAACUUCUCGUUGGUCCUCGGACUCAAACAAUCCACCCCAGUUUUUGACUCUCAAAUUAGUUCAACCAGUAUUGUCCAGUCCAUCACAUUUGGGAAGUAUGAGAAAGCUCAUGUGUGUAACUUAAAGAAGUUCAAAUUUAUGGCGGCCUAAAAGAAGACAAUAUGAUUGAGCUUUUAAGCAGGUAUUCAUUUCUUAUGUUUUCCACUUAUACCUUAUUGUCUCUCAACCUCUCUUACUUUGAGCUGUAAUCACUCAAUGUCCGGUGUCAAGAAUUCCUAUCACACUGCCAUCUCUAAGAUGUUCCUAUUGAAUAAUCAGAUACCUAGUGUGGGAAGGGGGACACAAAGGUGCUGAAUGGUCUUUGUUUCAAUGAUGUUUGGCUGCAUACUUGAAAUUCCUAUUUUUGGAGCAAUUAUAAAGAGGCAGAAUUGAAUUGCGUUUUAAUCAAACAGCAAACACAUGUUGUUAUGAAAGUUAAUUUGAGCUAACUUUUAAAAGCUGAAAACAACGUUUUUGAUUUGAUAAAUGAGGCUUAAAGUUGAAGUCUUGAAAAGAAGAUUUCUCAUUGGGUGGUAGCUAAUGUGAUCAUAUGAGGUGACAGCCCAUGUUU